rnacentral:rRNA from 1 species
AUUCCGGUUGAUCCUGCCGGAGGCCAUUGCUAUUGGGAUCCGAUUUAGCCAUGCUAGUCGCACGAGUUCAGACUCGUGGCGAAUAGCUCAGUAACACGUGGCCAAACUACCCUUCGGAGCUCCAUACCCUCGGGAAACUGAGGCUAAUAGAGCAUACCACAAUCCAGCUGGAAUGAGGAUUGUGUCAAACGCUCCGGCGCCGAAGGAUGU